rnacentral:lncRNA from 1 species
ACGCAGCCGUGUAGAAGGCAGAGAGAUUGAACUUUCCAUCCAGUAGGUUGCAGACGAGCUUGAGGGCGGUUAGGGGAUUGUGGGACCAGGCCAGAGGUAGCACUUGCUUCACAUAAUUACACGAGGCCUCCAUCUGGGCCCGGUCGUGAACGUCUUCUUCCCCGACGUUGUAAAAGAGAUCAAGGCAUGGGUUGUUGUUGUUGUUGACAAGCUGAUCAGGGUGUGUCUCUGCCUCUGGCUUCGACAUGGUUUUGAUUAGGGUUUUGGUUUUGUUUGCUUCUGUGCUGUUCUUGUUCUUCUUGUGUUGUCUUGUGUGUAUCUCUCUGUUAAUUUAUAUAGGAAUACGAAGUCUCCCUGUUAAUAUAGGAAUGAAUAGAAAUAAUAAUAAGAAAAGGAAUACGAAAUCUCCCUGUUAAUAUAGGAAUGAAUAGAAAUAAUAAUUUUCGACCAAAAAAAGAAAGAAUAUAAAUAAUAAUAAGAAUAGGAAGAAAUCUCCUUGUUAAUAUAGGAAUGAAUAGAAAUAAUAAGGAAAGUAUUAAGUAAGCCAGCCAUUACCCAUGCCUUGCAGGACUAAUUUCUCAAUAAUAUAUAUAGUUAAUAUAUAUUGAUGAUCUUUUAAUUUGGUUGGAUUUGAUUGGAGGAUUCGGAUCUUUUGCUUGUACGUUCUCUACUUUGAUCUCUUCCGAAUCACUGCAAGAAAAUUUGAAGGGAAAAACUACAAAAAAAUUUCUUUUCCACUUCGCAUUGGGCAAAAUAAUGUACAUGCUUUGUGUAAAAGUUAAAAUUUAGGAUAUAUCAAAAGAGUCACUUCUGGCAAAUGCCUAGUCUUAUUUUAAUUCUUCCUUUUAUUCUCAGAUGAACACAUUAUAAAACCACAAAGAAUUAAAUAUCUAAUUUCGCAUUGGGGUCCAUGUGGAUCCUCUAGUUCUCGUAAUAGAGCAUCCGGAAGGGCAGACUGUUAAUAGAAAGAUAGAACCGCAACAUAUCCUCAUUCAAUACAGUUUGAGUGUCACUAUCAACCACAUCGCCCAAACAAAACCCUAUUAGAGAAACACUUCACCCCACCAAAAAUUAGAAGAAGAACUCAUAACCUAAUUUCCAUGAAAAAAUUAAUAAAAUUUAUUGAUUAAAUAUAAAAAAAAUUGUAAUAAGACAUAAUUAGACACCAGAAGAAAUAUAAAGAAAGAGAAGAUGAAGACAGAAGAAGCAAGAACAAACAUAUUGGACAGAGUAUAAGAGAGAGAGGUGAGAGAUGGAUAUCUGGAGAAGAGUGAAGAUAUGAAAAGAGCGUAUGAUUUUUCAGGUAGAAAGGUUAUUUUUCUUUUUCCCUAGUCUCAUAAUUAAGCGUGUAUUAUCUAGACCAGGGUGUGUGAGUUGUAUUAGUUAGUUGGGUAAGGAGAGUAUUAAAAGCCCAAUCUGUUUAAAAUAGUCGGGUCAUUAAAUUAUACAAGUUGACACCAAACAGCUGACAUGUUCUAUUUACUCAUAUCCAAAGUCUAAUACGAGUGUACCAAAUGAACCCUUAACUGCCAAACUAUAAAAGCCUCUGUUAGUUUCUUUAAUUUCCUUUUAGUCUUUGCAAUUUUUGAUGUUAUACUGGUUCUCUAUUUCUUUCUAGUCUAUAGAUUCUUUCACCUUUUUUUUUCUUUUCUUUUUUCUUUUUUUGGCUUUGUUUGAUAUUUUGGUUGAACCAUUGGCAAGUGUUAUUGCUAACUAAGUGUUAUUGUUUUCUAGUUGAAUUCGAUAACAUGUGGUGAAAAUGUAGGUUUUUUAAUUUGUAUGUAGAUUUGUUUUUCAUAGCCAAUUUAGUCCUUGUAGCUUUUUCCCAAACUCUUUGUAGUCGUGAGGAAUCUGGAUCAUGUGGAUAACCUCUCCCUCUCACUCCCUGCCUCUUACCAUUUCCUUUUCCUCAAAACAAUCCAAGCCUAUGUUUGAAUACUCUAAAUUAGUAUAAGUGAGGUGUUAAUUUGCAUGUAUAAGUUUAUGUAAAUCUCUAUCUCGAACAAAGUACAGGUUGCUUGACAUCUAUGUAUUUGGAUAGAAUCCUUGGUAGAAAAAGUACAUCAAUGUGCUCAUAUGUCAUAGGAAAGAAAUAACUAAAUGUGUUGGCGCUUGGACUAGCAUAAUCUCAUAGUGGUUAUUUUAGUAUACUAACAAAUUUAAUGAUUUUUCCUGCUUCAUUUGAGCAUGCAGAUGCUUCCAUGACUUGUUUUUGUCAAGAGAUUGUGAUUCUCUUCUCUUCCCACAAAUUUAAUGUUCUCUUGGCAGAUUUCUCUCUCUAUUUGUUUUUGGUAAGUAUGUGAGUAUUUGUUAAUAGAAAGAAGAAUACAUAAAUCAAGGUGGUAUACUAAAUAUUUUUGAGACUCCUGCAUACACUUUUCAAUACCCAUCCUUUUUCUGUUUCUCUAACAAUCGAAUAUUUGAUGAAUUCGAUCUAAUUUUGAAUGGGUUUGUUUGGAGGUUUGGGUCAGAUUUUUGUAACAUUGAAUUUGCAAGACCUGGUCGUACGGUCCCUAAACAUGUUAGCUAAUCUUUGCACCCCUGGCUAGUCCGCUCACUUUAGUCUUUGGGUCAGAUUUUCUUGAAAUGGGCUGCUUUGAUAAAUUUAUGUAUAACGAAACUGAAAUCAGUUGCCUAAUUCCUCAUGUGUACAUCUACAUAGGAAGCCCUACUUGUUACUUCCUCGCUCAUGCUUUCCAUCCUAGGAUUGUCUCUACCCUCCAUGUAUGUGAGUUUUAAAUUUUCAUCAUUAUAUAUAUUACUAAACAUUAGAGAUUAUUUAAGGCAGAUAAUCAAUUAUCUGAAUUCUGCUUAGUCUUAGUUCCAUGUGCAUUAAUUAACUCUUUAAUCCAUACGCUUUCAUUUAAGCAGAUUGAUGUGAUUAGUGUGGCUCAUACAACAAAGGCAAUCUUAGGUUCAUCAAGCAAAGUCGAGCUUCAAAGUAGAUUUGCACGUGAAAUUGGUUCUUCUAUCGCUUCAGAAUCCCUUGCUGAAGAAGCAAAAUUUAUUAACCUGAACUUCUUGUCUAAUGUUCCAAAGUCUCAAUGUUCUUCAAACGAACUCCCAACUCCACUACUGGAAGAAGCAACAUGAGAGGAAUCAAUGUCUCUGGACAAAGGACUGGCAGAAAAGUAAGAUUCGUCAUAUUCUAUAUGUGAUCCGGCUGCAUCAGAAAAGUAAGAUUCCUCAUAUUUUAUAUUACUUCAAGCUUUUUAUUUAUGUAUGGGCUGAAGGUUGGUAAAAAUAAUAAAGUGAUUAGACAAAUACAAAAAUUAGGGCCUUGAUUAGGACCUAUUUUAAUUUAUAUACAUAUUAUCAUGCCUCAUUAGGGAAAAAAAAUUGGUUUUCAAUAUGAAUAAAACAGAGAGCAAGUACCUUGAACAACAAUUAAUGCACGAUGAGGGGCUAAUCCAAUUGUCAGAAAACCAAGUGGCAAAACCAUGCUACCAAUGGCAGCUUUCAAAUUGUAACUAAGACUUUGCCAUACUCUCAACCUGUUGUCAGGAUCCGCAACAGGUCCACCCAUGUAGUCAGCAACUAACAGAGAAAGUUUGAGCACCAGAUUGCUGUUUACAAAAACCAGAGGAUCUGAACUUGACUUUACAGCCAUUUCUAGGGCCAUCUGUUCAAGUUUCAACAAGUUCGCAUCAGCAGCUCUGUUGACUAAAACUGCUUCCCAGGUGUUCCUUGCAGAACAACAAGAGAAGGCAUUCUCUCUGAGGUUGACGUACUCAGUCAAAAUCCCAUACAGAUCAUAGAAACCACCCAAGAUAUUGUCAUCAUAGCUAAGAGCAUUGUAAUUCUGUGAAGAAUGGAUAAAUCUACGAUAUGAGACAGGUUAGAAAGGAAUAAAAUAUUACAAAACUGAAGAAACAAAAUUAAAUUUAAGAACACUGCUAUACAUCAUUGCUCCCAUAUGUUUAAGAUGUUAUGUUUUAGAAUAUCGUGGAAAUAUUCACACACAGAAAAUUCUUCCGAUUUGCCCCAUCGAUUCUGUCACAUGUGGCCUAGGUGGGGAAUUAUGAUUUCACCAUGCUUUAUGGUUUAUGAGUUAAAUGAAAUUAAUCACAGUCACAGAUGACAAUUUCUAAAAGCAUGCUUUAUGAUUCACCAUGCAUCUAUAAGAAGACACCUUAACUAAAGGUAAAUAAGCCCCAACAAUAACAAAUAACAUAGAUUAGGCUAAAUCUUCGUCUAAUAUGUCAAUACAGCCAACUGAAACCAUUUUAUGUUCAGCCUGAACAACUAAGCAGGCAUACUAAUUAGUUUAUUAGGAACUAUGUAUGGAUGGACCAACGGAAAAUAUACUCACGUCUGCCAUCAUUAGACCUUUCAGCUAAGGACGUUACGAGAUUGGUUUGUCAAAUUGGAAGCCAUAGCACUCCAAAAUCCAGCCCUUUUCAUUAAUGUGAUCUCAUCGGCCUAAAUAAAUAAACAUCCAUCAAAACUGAGAUAUACAUAAGCAAAUGACCUUUUCAAACUCCACAUAGGUUUCUCCAGGUGCCCAAUGGGCAUCAAAGUGGAUAACGAGGAAAUUGCUGCUUGCUGUUCAAAUGAAUUAGAGCUGGAAAACCACAUUGGUCCCAGUAGGGUCUGCACAUGAUAACCACUAAGGGUUUAGUCACAAAAUUCAAUGCAAAAACACUACUUCAAGAUGCCUUGAUUUAAUAGAAUACCUAUCUAAACUUAUCAAUGCAAACACAACCUCAACUAGCCCAUUACUAGUUUGUGUAGGUGCGGUAUGUGACUUUUGGGGUUGAUAGCUUGGUCCGAAACCGAAAGGAAGAAUCCGACCUUUGGGAAUAAAGGAUGUCAGGCAAUGGACUACUUGCUGGACCUAAAUAUCUCUCUGUAAGACAAUUAUACAGGCUUUGUUUCCAUCAGGACCAUGUUAAAAUCCCAAACUAGUUCCUCUUGACUGACAACUGUUAUAAUGGUUGGCAACCUCGCAUCAAUCCCUUUAAAGAUAAAAAAUACUUCUUUAGCAGUCUACUGAUCCCUCUACGCCUCUAUACGGAUGGUAUUACCAUGUAAGUAACAACAAAACACAUUAGAUUUUAGCAAAUAGUUUAAGUUCAUGCAUCUGUAGCUUAUAUUUUUAACAUUACAAAAAUAAUGAUUUAUUAACAAAUCUUUCAAUCUUGGCGAACUAACUCAAGAUAAUUAAGGUAAGAGCAGCACUAAUUAAAAAGAAAAGAUAAUUAAUAAUAAGCCAAUUACAAUAAAUCUCAGUCCACUAUAGUGAAAGCUUGAUAACGUUCAUCGGAUAUGGCUAAUUCCAUGAGAUGGUCGGGGCCAAUUUCGCCUUCAUUGUCGAGGAAGAGCUUGAGCAGAUUGUUAGAGAAGCCAUUGAGAAUGGACAACCCCGGUUGUGUACGAGGCGCCACCGGCUUCUCCGGGUUGUACUCUGACAAAGUCCAAAACACCACGUGUGGCACAACAUCCCCGUACCCUUUCUCCUUAUACUUGCUCUGUAUUGCCUGGUAAUCAAUCUCCCAAGAAGUUUCGGCCGCAUUGGCACUGUCAAAGUCCCGGUGACUCAACACCAACACCUUCUUGAUCAUCUGAUCCGGCUUCAAGUUCUCAUUCACAGCCACUUGGAGAAUCAAAUCAAACAGCUUCUCAAAAUCAAGGUCGACACUGCAGUUCAUCCUCCUCACAAACUCGUACUUGUACCUAAGAUCGUCGCCGCCUUGUAUGGAAUGUAGCUGAGGCUCAUCACUGAAUUGGAUCACCUUUCCUUUCCAUGGCUCUUCACUCAGUUCAGACAGCAAGAGUCCCAAAGCAAUGGAGACCUCCAAGGAGACCUCGUCGUCCAUGAAUUUGAGGUGGACAUCACAUACAGCCAACCAGUUUUUGAACUUGCCCUGCUUUGAGUAGACGUCCUCCACCAUUGACUUCCACUGGAGCUCAGCAGCGCGGCCUAAAUUCCAAUGGUGCACGUAGCCUGUGAUCUCAUGCGGAAGCAGAGCAUCCGCCAACAAGGACGAGGAGGACGAAAUCUUGCCAGCACUGCCACUGCAGCAGCAGCUGGCUUUCACCUUCUCCAAAUAGGUCUCAACAGCACUGGCCUCGUCUGGCGGAUAAUCCUGGGCAAAGUAGGCCUUCUUCAAGGAGGGCAAAACCUCAUCCUUGAGCCGCUUGACCAUGACUCUGUCGGCAUCUUUGGCCUUGGCCCGUUUUCCUUUACCAUGACCUCCACCUAAUUCUAAUUUGUGAUAUUCUUCUGGCGGGAAAAACUUCCUGGCAAUGUUUUCAAGCAGCAAAGUGAUGCUGUAGUCGGGGUUGUAAUCCGCGAAUGUUGACACGGCAGAAUGUAUAUCGCAUGCGGCCAUGGUUAUUCUGUCGUCAUUAUCAGAUUCAGAUAAUUGCUUCAAUUUGUUGUUUUUGUUCUGCUCCUCCGCCGCCUCCUUGAAUUUCAAUUUCUCCAUAUCAGACUUGAACAUCUCGGCCAAAAUAUCCGAAACCUGGUCGUGCAACAAUUGAUAAUCGCGGUCAUGCUUGUACCGCUUAACAGCCUUGUGCAACAAUUGAUAACGGUUGUAGCCCCGACGGCGAGUAGUCUUGUAAAUGUCUUGGCCUUCUCGAAGGAUGUGGUACACAAUGUUCAUUGAGUUGGAAAAAGCCUCGAAGGACCGGACAAUAGACGCCAGGUUGCACAAUAGUGUCUUGGGGUGGUUGUGGUGGAGCCAAAACGCAGCCGUGUAGAAGGCAGAGAGAUUGAACUUUCCAUCCAGUAGGUUGCAGACGAGCUUGAGGGCGGUUAUGGGAUUGUGGGACCAGGCCAGAGGUAGCACUUGCUUCACAUAAUUACACGAGGCCUCCAUCUGGGCCGGGUCGUGAACGUCUUCUUCCCCGACGUUGUAAAAGAGAUCAAGGCAUGGGUUGUUGUUGUUGUUGACAAGCUGAUCAGGGUGUGUCUCUGCC